rnacentral:misc_RNA from 1 species
ACAAACUUGGUCAUUUAGAGGAAGUAAAAGUCGUAACAAGGUUUCCGUAGGUGAACCUGCGGAAGGAUCAUUAAAAAGAAAACAAAAAAGAUCGCUUUAUGGACGAUCGAAAAAAAAUAAUCCAUAUCCACCUUGUGUGCACUCACUGACCGUUUGCUUUGGCAGGAGUUGUUGUUGUUCUUGGGUUUUUCCCAAGAGCGCGCGUGGAGGGAAGGAAAGGGGGGGAGGGACAACCACCCCCACCCGCCCCUCCCUCGGCCUGCCAGAGUUUUUCUCUCUCACUCACUCUUUUGAUACUUUUUUAAGACUGAACCCUCGUCUCGAUUCUCUGUAAUCGAUCGAAUCAAAAUACAACUUUCAACAACGGAUCUCUUGGCUCUCGCAUCGAUGAAGAACGCAGC